CAGCCGCCACGGUAAUACGGAGGGUGCAAGCGUUAAUCGGAAUUACUGGGCGUAAAGCGUGCGUAGGCGGUUUGUUAAGUCUGCUGUGAAAUCCCCGGGCUCAACCUGGGAAUGGCAGUGGAUACUGGCAGGCUAGAGUGUGUCAGAGGAUGGUGGAAUUCCCGGCGUAGCGGUGAAAUGCGUAGAGAUCGGGAGGAACAUCAGUGGCGAAGGCGGCCAUCUGGGACAACACUGACGCUGAGGCACGAAAGCGUUGGGAGCAAACAGGAUUAGAUACCCGCGUAGUCCCUGUCUCUUAUAC
rnacentral:rRNA from 1 species